GUUGAAUAUGUUUGGAGUUCUUUGAGCUUCCUUGAUCUUGAUGUCCAUCUCUUACCAAGAUCUCGAUGUCCUGGAUCUCGAUGUCCAAAACUUACCAAGACUUGACAAAUCUUCCUCCCGCAAACCCACCAUCCAAGCUUCAGCAACGUCAGUAUAACUAGGAGAAAACUUCAGUGUGAACUGAACGGUUCUGGCUGAGCCAGAGAUAGCUGUGGACUUUAGCUGGGGGUAUCCAGGCAGAAGGUAAGCAGUGAGUAAUGGAGGCUGUGUGUUGCGUGUGUCCGUAGUGGUGGAGUGUUGGAGCAGAGAGGUGGGAAUGAAGGAUUAGUUUAGGGCCAUGAGAUUACAGAGAAGUGGAAUCAAAAAAUGUUUAAGUCUGAGGCUUUCUGAGAAGAAGCCCAAUUCCUCCUUGUUUAACCGCCCCCACUCUUGUACCUGAGAUUUACCUGCUUUACAUUCAUUGCUUUACCAUAACAACCACAGCAAUAUGUAUACAGCACUUGUAUACAUAUUGGAAUCAGGAAUAUGAAGUGAUUUUCACAUCUACCUUAUUAUUUAAAUCUUAUAGAAAUUACAUGAAUGCUACAGAAUAAGAAAAGGUGGUUUAAUGCAGG
rnacentral:lncRNA from 1 species